rnacentral:rRNA from 1 species
UACGUAGGGGGCUAGCGUUGUCCGGAAUCACUGGGCUUAAAGCGUGUGUAGGCGGGGCGUUAAGUGUCUUGUGAAAUCCCCCGGCUCAACCGGGGAAUGGCUGGGCAUACUGGCGAUCUUGAGCAGUCUAGGGGCAGAUGGAACAGACGGUGGAGCGGUGAAAUGCGUAGAUAUCGUCUGGAACGCCAAAGGUGAAAACAGUCUGCUGGGGACUUGCUGACGCUGAGACACGAAAGCCAGGGGAGCGAACGGG